UCGGAAUAGAGCCUGAAUUAAAACAGAGUUAUGGAACUGAGCGAUUUUUUUUUCCGUUGAAGAGAAAACGAAAGCUCAGAAAAAAAAAGAUUAAAAUUCCCAAAAAAAACGUGAGAGAAUGAUGGAAAGAUCUGACAAAUUUUUUCACGGUAGAGAGGUAAUUAGUUGAAUAGCCUCCAGAGAGAGAAAGUUCCAUCUUCUCCCUUAAAACUCAGCUUCUCUUCUCAGAUUUGGUUAAGACUGGCGUGCUUGGACUUACACAGCCACGACGACGGUCUUAAUCUUUCCUUUAGCUUGCUUUUGUUCUUGAUUUUCUCGUGUUUGACAGAGAUUUUUUUCUGAGUAGUUGUUUGGUUGCGGUGGAAGAGGUUCCCGAAGAGAUCUCCAGCCAGAGCUAACAGAUAUAAUUGAUUAUGACAAAGAAGACGCCGGAUCUUGUAGAGGUACGGAGAAGUUCACCUGCAAACGUCUUCUUCUCUGUUUUUUACUUAGCUCCUUGUAAGAUUUUGUUUGUCCGGUGACCAAAUCCAUCAACUCACUCCAUGUUUUGAGAUCUUUACUCGGGUCAGAUGUGUUUAUAGCUUCAAAAAGGCUGAAUCUGAGGCGUCCUUGUCUGGAUUUUAGUGUUUAUCUUUCUUUACCUUUGUUCUAGCUUCGGUGCGAGAUAGUGGUGUGAUGGUGUGUGGAGAGUAGAACAUGUCUAACAUCUCUGAGAAGUUUCAGGUUGCUUGUCCCAUUCUAGGAAAGAGUCAUUCUCGCGGCCACUGAAUAAGUGUAUUAUCCGGUUUGUCUUUUGCUCUUGUGUUCCUCAGUGGCUUCGUAUGGUUGGAGCAUUAUAAUGAGGUUGAGGGUAUUAAGAUUUCUGAUGAAGGUUUGUUUGAGGAGGGAGCUUAUCCCCAAUUGUUGUUCUUCUCUGGUUGGUUUCUGAUGUUAUUCGUAUUGGUUCUGGCUUGGUACCAUGAACUGAAGGUUCAAGUAAGUUUGGUUUUGUUUCGUUGUUAUGGCCACUGCAUCGUUUCCUCUCUCGUUAAGAGUUUCGGCUGUUCAAAAGUGUAGAAAGAUUAAUAUUAUUUUCCUUUGUCAAGGACUGUCUUUAGCUUUGGUUAUAUGAGUCUAGAGUUGAUGUAGCGGAAGCUUUAUAGGAUAGAACUAGAA
rnacentral:lncRNA from 1 species